AUGCUGGGGGUUGAGGUAUGGGGAGGAGAGGAGAAGGGGAGGUUGGACACAUGUCUUAGAAAAAUAAUGACCCGUAAAAGGUUAUAUUUUUGGUACAGUGAUUACAUUCAAAUGCAGGACCAUCAUCCCAAUUCUGGCAUGUGUCUCAAAGACGCAGAAACCCCAGGCUCCACUGGCAGCAAAGCGGCAGAGAAGGAGAGAAGAGAAGAAGCACGUGAACAUGGAGAGGAGAGGCAGCAGCUGGACUUUGCAGACUACAGUCGGAAAGGAGUUCAGCCAGAAAUACUUGGAGAGAAAUUUGGCUGGACAGCAGAACUCCAGGGAAAGAGAAAGGUCACCUUCCUGCUCCAACCCCUUCCAAGUCUCCCUUCCCACUGAGAGCCACUUUUUUCAUCAAUAAAAUCCUCUGCGUUCACCA
rnacentral:lncRNA from 13 species